rnacentral:rRNA from 1 species
CCUACGGGAGGCAGCAGUGGGGAAUAUUGCACAAUGGGGGAAACCCUGAUGCAGCGACGCCGCGUGAGUGAAGAAGUAUUUUGGUAUGUAAAGCUCUAUCAGCAGGGAAGAACAUGACGGUACCUGAUUAAGAAGCACCGGCUAACUACGUGCCAGCAGCCGCGGUAAAACGUAGGGGGCAAGCGUUAUCCGGAUUUACUGGGUGUAAAGGGAGCGUAGACGGCAGCACAAGUCUGGAGUGAAAUGCCGGGGCUUAACCCCGGAACUGCUUUGGAAACUGUGCAGCUAGAGUGCAGGAGAGGUAGGUGGAAUUCCUGGUGUAGCGGUGAAAUGCGUAGAUAUUAGGAGGAACACCAGUGGCGAAGGCAGCUUACUGGACUGUAACUGACGUUGAGGCUCGAAAGCGUGGGUAGCAAACAGGAUUAGAUACCCGAGUAGUC